GUGCUGGAAUUACAGAUGUGAGCCACCGCUCCCAGCUUUUUCAAAUUAUUGAAUGUUCCAGUGGACUCAGCCUGGAUCAGACAUCUAUCUCCAGUCCAAUCAGCUAAGGACUAGAGGGAGAGAACAGGGUCAGGAAGCCUGGACAGGCUGGACACGUGGAUUCUCGGAAGCCUGGGAGGGUGCGUGGCCACGUGGGAGACAACUCAGAGUCUUUGCCACAGACACCACGGGGACACGAUUCUUGCAUUUGGUGACAAAUCGCACUGCUGGUGAGAUACUGAGCUGCGCUUCGCUGGGAAGGAAAGCAGAGGCUGGACCUCUGGGAUUCCCGGACACGGAGGCUCCGACAUACAAAAGGACAUAACCGGAGGGGAAAUGGCAGAGCCGGGCUCAAACCCAGGACUUCCUGAGUCUAAGCCCAAAUCCGGCCCUAGAUGAGCUGCCAUGGUACGCUGCACCGUCCAUGGCUGGAGCUUGCCUGGCCUGCUUCUUAGGCUCGGGGGUGAAAUGACCCCCUACUAAAGUCACACAGAGUGUGGAGCAGCAUCAGGACGACACGCCAAAUCGUCUGACUCCAGAGCCCUCUCUACACAGAGCUGGGAGAUAAAGUCAGGAGAGACAGCCAAAAGGAUGUGGAGAAAAUGUCCUCAGAUAACCAUCUGGAGGUCUUGAAAAGGUUGUCUUCCCAGGGACGCCAGCACCUUUGAUCACUGAGGCGAAACCCCCUGCCUGAAGUGCUUGUUCAACAUGCUUCUGCAACACCACUUGGUCCUCGAAAAUUUCUGGUUUGGGAGAACCGCCAGCGAUGCCCCUAGAGACCUUUCAUACCUCUUUGCUAAUUCCUCUUGCCAAGAGAUGCUUGAGAGGAAAAAUUAACAUGAAUAAAAGAUCAUUGAAAGAA